rnacentral:miRNA from 1 species
UCGCCUGACACUUGACUCAAACCU